CAGUAAACCAUUCCAAUAUAGUCACAAGAAAAACUUCUCAAACUUUUAAAACAAGCAGAAUAAGUAAUUAGUGCUUGCCAUUGCAAACAUUUGACUUAAUGACCUCCAAUUUAACAACACAACCUUUGGUACUCCAUGGGCAACAACUCGACUAAAUCUGUAGUUGACGUCAACUGGACUAAAUCUAUAGCAGUUGGCAUCAUAUACUAACUACAGUUUACACACAAACUUGCAUAUAACAUUGCUCUAUUGACAACACAUGGUCACAAAUCUAUUUCUUUUAAAGUUGAUGUUCCUGUCAUUCCAUCUCCACCCAAUGAGGACUUCAUCACUACCAAGGAAAAAAAAUGUGACCAGAUUAGGAGCUUAGUAACAAGUAACAUGGAUUAAAUUGUAGAAAGCAGAAUUAUAUUAAUUGAAGCUAAAUCAUCUGAGCUAGCUUGCUAAAAGCCCCUCUAGUAACAACACAUGAGAUGAAUGACAAUAGUAAACAACACUCUACCUCACAACACCUCCCUGUGACAGUAGUGAAAACUUAGUACUAUAAACUCAUCUAGGCCCCGUCCGUUAUGAUUUAACUGGUAUUAAUUGCUACUGAUUGAUCGGAAAGCACUUCGAGCUUCAUUAUCUCUAGAGCUGUUCCCUUUUUCUAAGCCGAUCUUGUCAUUAACCUGCAAGGCUCUUCUUUAAAUGUUGAAGUAGGGUAUGUUUCUUCAUUCUCCGCCGCCUUUAGUUUUAGGUUUUAGUUCCAAACUAUAAGGACAUUGAGGAGACAAUCCUCCUUAUUCUACCCGCAUACAGCUUUUUAGGACAUCGAUUUCAAUAUUACCUGCUUAAAUGUUAAUACUGAAAUGAUUCCACGCACUCCCCCCCUCUGACCUUGUGCAAAGCUGCCUAAGCUAUUCAUGUUGGUCAUUAGAAGAAAAUUUAGCUAACAAAUUUGGUAAUAAAGAGAAGGUGCACUCUAUGUUUCCUUCUCUAACCUUGUGCACAAAUUGCCUCAUGUACUCGUUGAUCAUUAGAAAUUUAGCUAACAAAUUUGAACCAAGCAUUCAAGCUUUCUACCUUCAUGCUGACAACUUUGAUCGAAUAUGUUUAGUUUAUUUUUCUCAUAUAUAUCUUUUCUACCUUCAUGCUGACAACUCCUUGUAUGGCCAGCAUGAUCAUUUGCCUCAAUCAAAACAUAUCGUGGAU
rnacentral:lncRNA from 1 species